AUCAUGGUCAUGGGAUUGGAGUCUUUUGCUGGAGGUGAGUGAUCAAAAGAAAAAGAGUUGAAAAAAAAUUCCUGGUCUGUGACGUCAUUUUGGAGCUGCGGAGCUGGCAGCAGCCUGCUUCCGCCCGGAGUGGGAGGAGCCUGGGGGAGCGCUGCGUGCGGUCUGCUCGCCUUCCCUGACGUCCUCGGUCUGGAGCGGCGCUUCCGGGAUUGCGGUGACGCAGCCUCGUCCUCGGACCAAAUGGAACUAAUGGGAAUAAGCUUCCCAUUUGGCCCCCCACGUCAGGUCUCGCUCCGCCAUGGCUCCUAACGACUCCCAACUUCCUUGUUCGACCAAAUUAUUUGCGGGAAAGCGAUUAGCUGGAGUCAUAAUGUCAUGACUUGGACUGUGGAGUUUUUGUUUUCCCAAGAUGCAAAAGGAUUUGGAUCGGACAUGGCUUGAAGGAAAUGGACGAGGGUUCAAAAGUACAGAAGUGAGCGCGGCUAAGGACUACGGUCUGUUUGAAAAACAAAAAGCAAAACUGCCAUUCUGUCAAGAGAAUUAACCACAAGACGGGAAGCACGGUGGAAGAGGGGUUAGUGCAUCUGCCUCACAAUACGAAGGUCCUGAGUAGUCUUGGGUUCAAUCCCGGGCUCGGGAUCUUUCUGUGUGGAGUUUGCAUGUUCUCCCCGUGACUGCGUGGGUUCCCUCCGGGUACUCCGGCUUCCUCCCACCUCCAAAGACAUGCACCUGAGGAUAGGUUGAUUGGCAACACUAAAUUGGCCUUAGUGUGUGGAUGUGAGUGGGAAUGUUGUCUGUCUAUCUGUGUUGGCCCUGCGAUGAGAUGGCGACUUGUCCAGGGUGUACCCCGCCUUCCGCCCGAUUGUAGCUGAGAUAGGCUACAGCGCCCCCCGCGACCUCAAAGGGAAUAAGCGGUAGAAAAUGGAUGGAUAACCACAAGACACUAAGAUGGUGCAACCAAACUUGAUAGUUGAUACUGUUACCUGAUUAGCUGUUAGUGUGUCACUCCCACUGAUCAGUGAUCACUUCCUGCGUUGCUCGGUUACUAGAGCGCGAGUGCCUUUGUUCAAGCAACAAACCUUGCUUUGCAACUUCCAAUUUCUUCCGACAUAAAAUAAAAAAAUAUUCUCACGUUUUA